UACAGAGACCUCAAGCGUUAUCCGGAAUCAUUGGGCGUAAAGCGUGCCGAUAGGUUGUUUUGAAAGUUUUGGGUAAAAGCCAGAAGCUCAACUUCUGCGUUUGCUCAAAAUACUGCAAGACUAGAGGGGCAAAGAGGUCCUUGGAACGAACGGUGUAGUAGUGAAAUGCGUUGAUAUCGUGCGGAACACCGAAAGCGAAGGCAGAGGACUGGGUGCCACCUGACACUGCUAGGACGAAAGCGUGGGUAGCGAAUGGG
rnacentral:rRNA from 1 species